rnacentral:rRNA from 1 species
UGCGAAGGGGGCUAGCGUUGCUCGGAAUCACUGGGCGUAAAGGGUGCGUAGGCGGGUCUUUAAGUCAGGGGUGAAAUCCUGGAGCUCAACUCCAGAACUGCCUUUGAUACUGAGGAUCUUGAGUCCGGGAGAGGUGAGUGGAACUGCGAGUGUAGAGGUGAAAUUCGUAGAUAUUCGCAAGAACACCAGUGGCGAAGGCGGCUCACUGGCCCGGUACUGACGCUGAGGCACGAAAGCGUGGGGAGCAAACAGG